rnacentral:rRNA from 1 species
CGGCCUGCUUAACACAUGCAAGUCGAACGGAAAGGCCUCAGCUUGCUGGGGUACUCGAGUGGCGAACGGGUGAGUAACACGUGGGUGAUCUGCCCUGCACUUUGGGAUAAGCUUGGGAAACUGGGUCUAAUACCGAAUAUGACCACUUCUUGGAUGUUGUGGUGGAAAGCUUUUGCGGUGUGGGAUGAGCCUGCGGCCUAUCAGCUUGUUGGUGGGGUAAUGGCCUACCAANGCGGCGACGGGUAUCCGGCCUGAGAGGGUGUACGGACACAUUGGGACUGAGAUACGGCCCAGACUCCUACGGGAGGCAGCAGUGGGGAAUAUUGCACAAUGGGCGCAAGCCUGAUGCAGCGACGCCGCGUGGGGGAUGAAGGCCUUCGGGUUGUAAACUCCUUUCGCUAUCGACGAAGCCACUUGUGGUGACGGUAGGUAUAUAAGAAGCACCGNUUAACUACGUGCCAGCAGCCGCGGUUAUACGUAGGGCGCANGCUUUGUCCGGAAUUACUGGGCGUAAAGAGCUCNNGGGNGGUUUGUCGCGUCGUCUGUGAAAUCCCGGGGCUUAACUUNGNGCGUGCNNGCGAUACGGGCAUAACUUGAGUGCUGUAGGGGANACUGGAAUUCCUGGUGUAGCGGUGAAAUGCGCANAUAUCAAGAGGAACACCNAUGGCNANNGCAUGUCUCUGGGCAGUAACUUGACGCUGAGGAGCGAAAGCAUGGGUAGCGAACAGGAUUAGAUACCCUGGUAGUCCAUGCCGUAAACGGUGGGCGCUAGGUGUAGGGGGCUUCCACGUCUUCUGUGCCGUAGCUAACGCAUUAAGCGCCCCGCCUGGGGAGUACGGCCGCAAGGCUAAAACUCAAAGGAAUUGACGGGGGCCCGCACAAGCGGCGGAGCAUGUGGAUUAAUUCGAUGCAACGCGAAGAACCUUACCUGGGCUUGACAUGUACCGGAUUGGGCUANAGAUAGUCUUUCCCUUGUGGUCGGUAUACAGGUGGUGCAUGGUUGUCGUCAGCUCGUGUCGUGAGAUGUUGGGUUAAGUCCCGCAACGAGCGCAACCCUUGUCUUAUGUUGCCAGCACGUUAUGGUGGGAACUCAUGAGAGACUGCCGGGGUUAACUCGGAGGAAGGUGGGGAUGACGUCAAAUCAUCAUGCCCCUUAUGUCCAGGGCUUCACACAUGCUACAA